rnacentral:rRNA from 1 species
ACUCCUACGGGAGGCAGCAGUGAGGUAUAUUGGUCAAUGGGCGAUAGCCUGAACCAGCCAAGUCGCGUGAGGGAUGACUGCCCUAUGGGUUGUAAACCUCUUUUGUAAGUGGAGAAUAAGCGCUACGUGUAGCGCGAUGACUGUAUCUUACGAAUAAGCAUCGGCUAACUCCGU